rnacentral:rRNA from 1 species
GACGAACGCUGGCGGCGUGCCUAAUACAUGCAAGUCGAGCGAGCUUGCCUAGAUGAUUUUAUUGGUUGCGCUAAAUGAAACUAGAUACAAGCGAGCGGCGGACGGGUGAGUAACACCUGGGUAACCUGCCCAAGAGACUGGGAUAACAACUGGAAACAGAUGCUAAUACCGGAUAACCACACUAGACGCAUGUCUAGAGUUUGAAAGAUGGUUCUGCUAUCACUCUUGGAUGGACCUGCGGUGCAUUAGCUAGUUGGUAAGGUAACGGCUUACCAAGGCAAUGAUGCAUAGAUGAGUUGAGAGACUGAUCGGCCACAUUGGGACUGAGACACCGCCCAAACUCCUACGGGAGGCAGCAGUAGGGAAUCUUCAACAAUGGACCAAAGUCUGAUGGAGCAACGCCGCCUGAGUGAACAAGGGUUUCGGCUCGAAAAGCUCUGUUGGUAGUGAAGAAAGAUCGAGGUAGCAACUGGCCUUUAUUUGACGGUAAUUACUUAGAAAGUCACGGCUAACUAC